GGCCAUAGUAUCCUAUGGUAUAACCAUCCCAAUCAACCACAACUGUCUCUCCCAUCUUAGGCUUGGGGCCAUCUCCUACUCGCAAGUCCUUAAACUGAAGACCUGAAUCUGUUUCAGUGUAGUCUGGAUACCGCAUCUUUGACUUGCCGUAAUCCUUGCCCCGGAUUGCUGGCAUGUCAGCGAAUUCAGAUGCCAAAGCUACUCCAUCAAUCGAAGCAUUCCACAGAGCUCCACUCACCAAUCCAACGGAUAAGAUUACUACUUCUC
rnacentral:misc_RNA from 1 species